rnacentral:lncRNA from 1 species
GAAGUUCGCUUUUUCCUCUUUUCUCUCUCCUAGACGAAGAAAACCAUUUUUCUCCAGUUCUAGAUCCCCUUGCUCUUUGUCGUUGAAUCCGGUGGUUGGUGUGCCUGUGAUGCCACCACCAGAUUCAGUUUAGUAUUUAUAGUUGUCUCUUCCUUUGUGGCAUAGUGAGAGACUCAACGGAUAUCUUCAAUCGAGUGAACGAGUUUAGAGCUCCGAUUUGUGGAUGGAGUUUUUCAGAUCCGAGAACGGCGUUUGGUUUUAGUCGGCUCUGAAUCCGGUCUCAACGAAGCUAAGUGUUCAGGAUGCUUGCGAGAAGGAUCCAAAGUGUUCACCAGAUCUAAAAUGUGGAUUUUUGUUGGUACCGGUUUUCUGUUUGUUUCUCUUCAUCUGCUCUCGGUUCCAUGCUCUUUGGUCUCUAAUUGAUUUUUUCUCCGUUUUGGAUCUGUUAGUUGUAGGUUCUGAUCUGGUGUUUGCUAGAUCCAAUCGUUUGCAAUUGUCUUCUUAAGUUUUAACAAUUGUAUUGUUGGGUCGUUUGCUUCCCUCGUUUGGGCAAAGUUUCUCACCUCAACUAGUUAAGUCGUUUAGUUAGGGGUUGAGCUUUAGCUUUUGUUAUGGAGUUGUAUUUCUAUAGAAUUAGCCUUGUUUGGUUGAUUGUGGCGUUGAAAGGUCUAAGUGGGUCUUGUUUAUCUUACGGUUCAUCCGGGAGACCCUUGACAAAGCACUCAUAGAGAAAGAUGCAUCUUCUGCGAAGAAAGCCAAGUUACAUUCUCUUGUUUUGGCCAUUUGUGUUGAAGCCCAUUCUCAAAUUUGUUAUUACUAAAGUCCUUAUGGUAUUUUGAGAGCUUUGAUAGUCUCGAGACAAGAUGUUUUUGGUUUAAGCAAUGUAUUCGAAAAAUCAUUUCCUCAUCUUGUUGUAGGUUAUGGAAAGAUCAUUGUGUUUCUUUAUAAUUGUGAUAAAACUAGG